rnacentral:rRNA from 1 species
AUGUGAAGUCCUUCAGGGGUGGUAGCCCUUUUGCUAUCACUAGGAUUCCCUUAAUAAUGACGAGCGAGCUGAGAAUAGCCCAGCUUGAAAAUCAGUCACCCUUGGCAUUCAAAUUGUAGUCUAGAGAACCAUCCUUAGCUAUGGACAGGGCCUAAGUCCCCUAGAAGGGGCGCCUGAGAGGGUAAGAGCCCCUUGUGCCCAGACCCUGUCGCUGCAAGAGGUGUUGUCUCUGAGUUGGGUUAUUUGGGAAUACAGCCCUAAUUGGGCUAUAAAUUCCAUCCAAGGCUAAAUAUGGGCAAGAGACCGAUAGCGAACAAGUACCAUGAAGGAAAGAUGAAAAGGACUUUGAAAAGAGAGUCCAAAACUGCUUGAAAUUGUCGGGAGGGAAGUAGAUGGGGGCUGCCAAUGCGCCUCGGUCGAAUGUGGAAUGGCAUAAACUAGUCCGUAGAUCAGCUUGGGGUAUGAACCGAUGUGGAUUGUGUUGCUAUCCCAAGACCGGGCUUUUGAAAUGCUCGGGGAGAUGGUGUCGGCUCGAUGAUGGCCUGCAACACACGCUUCACGGCGUGCCUUAGCAUCUAUGUCCUCCUGGCAUCGACCUGCGGGCUCCCCAUUUGACCCAUCCUGAAACACAGACCUAGGAGUCUGACAUGCGUGUGAGUAAACGGGCAAGAAAACCCGUAUGGUAGAAUGAAGCUGAUUGGCGGUAUUGCCAGUGGGUGCAUCACCGACCGACCUUGAUCUUCUGAAAAAGGUUCGACUGAGAGCAUGCCUGUCGGGACCUGAAUGAUGGUGAACUAUGCUUGAGUGAGGUGAAGCCAGAGGAAACUCUGAUGGAGGCCCACAGCCAUACUGAUGUUCAAAUCGUUCGUUUGAGUUGGAUAUAUGGGCAAAAGACUAAUCGAACCGUCUAGUAGCUGGUUCCCCCCGAAGUUUCUCUCAGGAUAGCUGGAGCUCAUGCGAGUUCAAUAGGGUAAAGCAAAUGAUUAGAGGCAUCGGGGGCAUAACGCCCUCGGCCUAUUGUCAACAUUUACAUAGGUAGGAUGGUGUGGCUGCUUUGUUGACUCGUGUCACGGAAUCGAGAGCUCCGAGUGGACUACUUUUGGCAAGUAGAACUAGCGAUGCGGGAUGAAUCGGAAGCCGGGUUACUAUGCCCAACUGCGCGCUAACGUAGAUCACACAAAGGGUACUGAUCGAUUAAGACAGCAGGACGAUGGUCAUGGAAGUCAAAGUCUGCUAAGGAGUCUGUAAAAACUCACUUGCCGAAUCAACUAGCCCCGAAAAUGGAUGGUGCUGAAGCGCGUGACCCACAUAUGGCCGUUGGGGCAAGUGCUUGGCCCUGAUGAGUAGGAGGGUGCGGCGGUCAUUGUAAAACCCGGGGCCUAUGCCUGGGCGGAGUGGCCGUCGGUGUACAUCUCGAUCGUAGUAACAAAUGUUCAAAUGAGAACUUUGAAGGCCAAAAAGGGGAAAGGUUCCAUGUGAAGGGCACUUGCACAUGGGUUAGUCGAUCCUAAGAGAUAGGGGAAGCCCAUCUGAUGGCGCUUAGGCGCAAGCUUUAAAAGGGAAUCGGGUUAAAAUUCCUGAACCGGGAUACGGCGGCUGAUUACAACAUUAGGGAGUCUGGAGAUAUCAGUGGGGACCGUAGGAAGAGUUAUCUUUUCUAUUUAACAGCUUGCCCACCCUGAAAACGGCUCAGCUAGAGGUAGGGUCCAGCGGCCGGAAGAGUGUCAUACAUCUCGUGGUGUCCGGUGCGCCCUUGGUGACCCUUGAAAAUCCAGAGGGCUAAGUGUCAUCUGCGCCCGAUCGUACUCAUAACCGGAUCAGGUCUCUAAGGUGAACAGCCUCUGGUCAAUGGCAUAAUGUAGGCAAGGGAAGUCAGCAAAAUGGAUCCAUAACCUCGGGAAAAAGAUUGGCUUUGAGGGCUGGGCACGGGGGUCACAGUCCUGAAUCCGUCAACUGUCGGCAGACUACUUGAGCUGUUCCUGUAGCGAGGCCGGUCACCGCGUGACGGCCAGGGGAUGAACUAGGAACGGCCCCUUUUGGGGCGUUCCCCGAGCAUCGAACAACCAACUCAGAACUGGUACGGAUAGGGGAAUCUGAUUGUUUAAUUUAAACAAAGCACUGCGGUUGUCCUUGGGUAUGCUCAUGCAAUGUGAUUUCUGCCCAAAGUGAAGAAAUUCAACCAAGCGCAAGUAAACGGUGGAAGUAACUAUGACUCUCUUAAGGUAGACAAAUGCCUCGCCAUCUAAUUAGUGACGUGCAUGAAUGGAUUAAUGAGAUUCUACUAUCCCUGUCUACUAUCCAGCGAAACCAUAGCCAAAGGAAUAUACUUGGCAAAAUCAGCGGGGAAAGAAGACCCUGUUGACCUUGACUUUAGACUGACUUUGUGAAAUGACUUGACAGGUGUAGGAUAAGUGGGAGCCCUAUGGGUGCAAGUGAAAUACCACUACUUUUAAUGUUAUUUUAUUUAUUUCGUGAAUCGGAUGAGGGGCAAUGCUCUUCUUCUUGGGCCCGAGGCUCACCUCGAUGGGCCGAUCUGGGUGGAAGACAUUGUCAGGUGGGGAGUUUGGCUAGGGUGAAACAUCUGUUAAAAGAUAAUGUAGUUGUCCUAGGAUGAGCUCAACGAGAACAGGAAUCUCGUGUGGAACAAAAGGGUAAAAGCUCAUUUGAUUUUGAUUUUUAGUACAAAUACGAACCGUCAAAGCUUGGCCUAUCGAUCCUUUAGACCUUCAAAAUUUGAAGCUAGAGGUGUCAGAAAAGUUACCAUAGGGAGAACUGGCUUAUGGCAACCAAGUGUUCAUAGUGAUCUUGUUUUUUGAUCCUUCGAUGUUUGCUUUUCCUAGCAUUGCGAAGUAGAAUUCACCAAUUAUUGGAUUGUUCACCCACUAAUAGGGAACAUGAGUUGGGUUUAAACCGUUGUGAGAUAGGUUAGUUUUACCCUACUGAUGACCACAUCAUGAUAAUAAUUCAACCUAGUAUGAAAGGAACCGUUGAUUCAUACAAUUGGUCAUUGCACUUGGUUGAAAAGCCAGUGCCGGGAAGUUACCAUGCAUUGGAUUAUGACUGAAUGCCUUUAAGUCAGAAUCCAGGCUAGAAGCGACACAUGUGCUAGUCACCCAUUUCCUGAGCCAUAGUAGAGGCCUUGGCCCCCAAGGGCACAAGCUGGGAGAGUAGCUGUCAUGACAGACUGGGUGCAAAGGCU